GUCUUUAUCUAUUGCCUCAUAAACUGAACUUCUAAGAGCUGAAUCAGCCCAAUUCUUGGCAAAAGUUGGAAUGGAACCCUUACGAACUCAUUUGUGAUGACGGUUGGGAAUGAAACAGAAGAGCUGAGCAGCAGUUGUUGGGCUCCGUGCCCACAUAACCACCCCGGUAAGUACCAAGCAUAGCUUUCAUUUCCCCCAUAUUAGUGAAAACUGAAAAGAAUACAUGGUUAAAGCAUAACAAAGAUGUUGGAAUCAGAAAGACACUGACUCAUUGAUUCCAGUCAUGUCCCAGCCCCUUCUUACCAUAUCUCCCUGGGUGAGUUUCCUAACCCUUCUGAAGCUCCACGCCCUUAUAAGAAAUACAAGGUUCAAUAAUAUCACCUACCUCACAGUGUUAUUCUCAGAUUGCAGUGAGAUUAUUAAAAUGUUGAGUAUAGAGUCUGUCAAAUAGUUCAUAUGCAAAGGCUGGUUGUAUUUAUUAGCAGCUAUUGCUACAAUGAUUCUGCAUAACAACCCACCCAAAACUCAGUAGCUUACAGUGGUCCACAUUUAUUCUUUUGUCCAAGACUCUGCAGGUUGUUUGCAGCUUGGGCUUGACUGGGCAGCUCUGCUUGAGCUGGGGUUCAGCUGGGCUCGGCGCCAGGGUGCUAGUUGGGUUCAGUUCUGUUCCAUGUGUUUUAUUCCAUGGUCAAGGCUAAGGAUCAAUAGCUACAGGCUGUGCUCUCCUCAUGAUGGGUCACUGGAGCACCAUGCCAAGCCAAAAGACACACAUUGAAGCCUUCUGUUUACAUCACAUCUACUGACAUUACACUGGUCAAAGCAAGUCACAUGGCAACCCCAGCAUAAUGGGGUAGGGCAACUCUCACCCACUAUAGGAAAGAGAAGGAAGUGAAUAUUUGAUAAACAAUAAUUUGAACGACCAUCCUACAAUAAUGAUGCUAAAUUAAUUUAGUGGUAGUAGUAAUAUUAUGAGUAGUAAUAGUAAAGAAAAAUAAUCAUUGAUUCCUUCCACUGAUUUUGUUGGGCUGCCAAACUGUGCCAGGGGCUGUCUAGCUCUCCCAGGUCAUGUUAAGCUUUUCCCAACCAUUUAGUGCCUUGGAUGUGUGGCUUAAAGGAUGGCCUCAAAGACAAUGACCUGAGUUGUGCAGAUUAUUUCCAUCAGCUUGGAAAUAGACAAACAGAAGCUAAACGAGUGGCCAAAUGCAAUGUACACGGACUAACUCACAGUUUUGGUGACUCCUUGGACGUCUCUGAGCAUCGGUUCUUCUAAUCUAAGAAAUGGAAAGAUGUUCUCUUACGUUCCUCCUACUUUACUGAGUAUUUUCCACAUAGAAAAAGACUUUUGCUUUCCACCAGUCAGUCUUAUGCAUUUUAAGCAGAACAGAAAAACAUUAAACAUAGUCAGUUGAUGUUCAUUAGAGGGAAGGCUGGCAUCAAAUGCCAGGUUCAGUUCAGCCAUGGAGUAACUCAAAGACAAUGGAAAGGAUUCACAGGAUGUAUUGCUUGGCCCUUGCUGCGAUGGGUAAGGCAACUUGAAGAGGAUAGUCUAGGGGCGCCUGUGUGGCUCAGUUCGUUAAGCAUCCAACUCUUGAUUUCAGUUCACGUCAUGAUCUCAGGUUUGUGAGCUCAAGCCCCACAUCAGGCUCUGCUGACAGGGCAGAGCCUGCUUGGGAUUCUCCUAAUCUCUGUCUCUCAAAAUAAAUAAACUUAAAGAAGUGGAUAGUCUAACAUAAAACCAGGUGUCCUAUCUUAGGAAUUCCCCAUCAGACAGAGUGAGAUACGUGGAGCAGAGGAAGGGAAGCUGGAUAAGAGAUACGAAGGAAAAGAGAAGAUACUUGUCAGAUGUUAUCUAGCAAUACAACCUUCUUGCUGUUUCCCAUUCAUUUUUCAAGCCUAAGGGAAGAAGAAGACCUAUGAACUAUUCGUGGAUGACAGCUAUCAACUCUAUAGAAACAUCAGAUGGAAGAUUGCCUUACCAAGUUCCAUCACCUGUGCUGUCUGAUUCCACUGACUAAAAACAAAAACAAAACAAAACAAAAAAAAACAAAAAGCAAAACAAACAAACAAACCAACAACAACAACAACAACAAAACAGGAAAAGAGCAAAAGCUAUAACCUGAAAAAUAGAAUUUGGGCAUGCAGGAAGGUUUCCCAUCUUAGAAGGCUGAUUGAUAAAUAUCGAAAUAUCUUAAGAUUUCAUUGACAUCUUGCCUCUCUCACUCUCUUUGUAUAGAGAAUGAAGGGGAGAAAAAUUGACAGGCAUUUAUUGUUAAGAAGGAACUGCAGUCCCACUAAACACCACAAGAAUCCAGCCAGGUAAGUACAAUAACCUCAUACUUUCAAAAAAGAAUCCAGGAUUGUUUGGGUUAAACACAUUACUACCCUCCAAAACGUUAUUAGAAAAUGAGAAUUGACCUCGGACCUAGACUCUGAUUUUUUUCACCAUAUUACAUUUUGAUCUUUAAGAUAUGCAUGCAGAUUUUGAAAAUUUUAUUGCUUUUAGCUAAAAACAAGGAGACAGAUGAAAUUAAUGUUCACAAAGUCCCUUUCAGUCCCAGACAUCUGUGAGUCUAUGAUAUACAGCAAAUUAUUUCCUCCGCAAGCCCAAACUGGAGGCUACAUUGUAUAUAUUUUCCCCUUGUUUUCCUAUGUCAGCUCCCUGACUGCCCCUCACAGCCACUUUGCAAGUCUUGAUUGCCAAGCAUUUAGUUUCUUUUUCCUGUUUGUCUGGAAGACAGAAAGCCCCAGGAAGGGAUUCUUGGGCUUUUGAUAGAAGGCGCAUGAAAUAUCUGUAAUUAUGGAUUACAUUUUGUACCCAAUAAAUGGCUGAAAGAAGUCCAAUGAUAGAAACUUUUAGAAGAUAAUUGAAUGUGUCAGCUGGAUCAAAAAAUUAUGUACUUGCUCCACCUCUGCAAAUUGUGAUAAAUAGUCUGUUGUCUGGAGAGGUUGCCUGGCAUUUUCUUUUGCAUUCCAAAAUCACUGUCGCCCUUGUCACUGAAUUUUUGGUUAACGACUCAAAGAAACCCUUUGGACUAGAAUGAAUCUCCUAGAUGCCACCAUCUGAACAUAGUUACCUGGAAUACAACAGACUUUAAUAAUUCAAAACUUCAAUUUAUUUCUAUCAUUAUCCCAGACAAAAGAAGUGUAUAUUUUUAGCACAUUUAUUGGUGAAAAAUGGGGUGUGCCCCACGCUUGAGGAAAAAUUAGCAUUUCUCUACUUAAAUAAUGAAGUAAGAGAAAAAAAAGCAUUUUUUCUUCAUUAUUUAUGUAUCCAAUUGUGUCCUUUGCAUAACUGCCUUGGAAUAGAAGCACCUUAUUAAGAGGGACAAUGAGUAGUAGCAGUAGAAUUCCCAAGCAGAAGAACAAAACAAAAUAUAAAUUAAUGUUUUCUAUUAAACCCCAGCAGUAUAUAGUGUGGCCAGACCAAGGAGAAUCGAGCUUGUUUAAACAUUUAUAAAUUGUAAAGAGCAGUCAGGGUAAAUGGAAAUAAAGAGUGAUCAAAUGUAGAAUGAAGUUAGAAUUUUCUAAGCUGACAAGGAAUGGUAGAAAUAACGAAGGAGGGAUGGGGUAAAUGGGUGACGGGCCUCAGGGAGGGCACUUUUUGGGAUGAGCACUGGCUGUUGUAUGUCAGAGAUGAAUCACUGGCUUCUACCCCUGAAGCCAAGAUUAUACUGUAUGUUAACUAACUCGAAUUAAAAAAAGAUGUAUAUAUAUAUAUACACACAUUUUUUAAUGUUGUCCAUUUUAUGUCCAUUUAUGUAUGUAUAUAUAUAUAUAUAUAUAUGAUUAUAUAUAUGUAUAAAUGAUUUCAAAAGGAAGAAAUAAAAUGGACAACAUUCAAAAAAAAAAAAAGAAAUAACAAAGGGGAAGAUCAGUAAGAACUUCAUGUACGAAUUACGAUUUCUCUCAAAAUUGCUUAACAGGCAAAUAAACCGGAGGAAAUACUCGCUCUCCACAGGACAAAGGGUGAUAUCCUUAACAGGAAAAGAGCUCCUGCCAAAAGGUAAUAAUAAAAGCAUUAAGUUCCCCAUCAGUAAAGGGGGGAAGGGAGUAAAGACAAUUGAAGGCACAGAUACAUUGAUGGCUAAGAAACAUUUGAACAUUUUUCAACCUCCCUCAUCAUCAAAGAAACGGAAAUUUGCAUAACAGGGAAAUGCUAUUGUUAACCUAUCAGAUUACUAGAACACUAAAAAAGAAAGAGAGAGAGAGAGAAUAUUCGAAUGCGGAGAUGGAGUGUAGUGACACAGAGGAGCUCAGCUCAGCUGGAAGGAAUACAAAGCGGUUCCAGCCCUCGGCAAGGAAUGUGGCGUGCAGUGUGUGAGCCUUGAAAAUAUUUGUAACGCUCACCUCCAAAAGUCUACUUCUGGGAUUCUAAUGAUGGAAAUGAUCCAAAACAGAGAAAAGGGGUUUUCUGCCAGAGACAUUCAUUGCACUGCUGUUUAUAAUAUUAAAAUUGGGGGAAUAAACUAAAUUUCCCAAAAAUAAGAGUGAUAUUACACAAAUCAGAAUAACAAAAUGUAGCCACUCAAAUAUCUGUGAAAUAUUUUAAGAUCGUAAGAUGCCUAGGUUUUAGUGAAAAAUAUAAAAUUAGAGUAUAAAGUUUUAUAUGUGGAAUGAGAUCAAAGGUAUAAAAUAACGGAUAAAAAUGACCAGAGUGGAUUAUAAUAAAAUGCUAAUAAAGGUUUUAUCUGGUUAGUAAGAUUAUGGAUGGAGUGACCAUGUAAUUUAUUCUCCAAAAGGGGACACACCCAAAUGUCUAUGAGAAGGGACAUAUCAGGGGACAACAUUCUGGCAGUAAAGCCUAAUGAGAAUGUUACUUUUUAUUAAGGUCCCUAAAUAUUUUUCAGACAAAGACUAGUUUUAUAAGUGAAUUCUUUCUAGGGAUGCCUGGGUGGCUCAGUGGGUUAAGUGUCUAACUUCAGCUCAGGUCACGAUCUCUCAAUUCUUGAAUUUGAGCCCCACCUCAGGUUCCACACGGCUGGUGUGGAGCCUGCUUGGGAUUCUCUCUCUCCCUCUCUCUCUCUCUCUGCCCCUUCCCCACCUGAGUGCUCUCCCUCUCUCUGAAAAUAAAUAAAUAAGCUUAAAAACUUUUUUUUUUAAAUUAAAAAAAGAAUUCUUUCUGAUUAUCAAAGUGACAUAUGUUCACUGUAGAAAAUUUGAGAAACAGAAAUAUAUGAAAUUUGAGAAAUUACACUGAUGUAAAUGGUGGGUAAAUAGUAGACCUUUCUAAGAGCUCAUUUGCGGGUGGUUUGGAUGAAGUGUGGCUGAGAAUCCGCUUGGGAUGAAAAGCAGGAGAGGGCAGUGGGCAGAUUUAAUGUUGGAGAAGCGUGUACUAGGUCAGCAGGAGUUUUGCAAAGAGGGAGUUCCCUGUCUCUGGAGUCAUCUGAGUUGAGGCUGGCUGACUCCAUUAGGCGGGUGUUCUUAAAAAGAAACUGAAGGCUGCCUAAGAGACACCAACCCUGAGGUCUGGGGUUGUUUGGAAGACCAGGCAUGGACCAAACCCAGAGCUUAGCUUUUCUGUAGGGGCGAGGUCUAACCUGGAGACAUAGGGAUGUCCAGACAGGUCACUGCUGGCGGCAGCCGCAGUCGAGCAGUGUGUGGGCAGGCAGGGAGUGGGGAGCUCAGAACGCUACCUUCCAUUUGAGUCUACUCUUUUCAAAAGCAGUUUUACAUACCUGUAUACUUUUUAAUGUAGUGUUUUAUUGAACGUGGAACGUUCUCAGAAUUCCAGAAGUCCUUUAUUGUCCCUUCUAAUUAUAUCCUCCUUGCUCCCUGAAGAAACCAAUAACCAAGUUAUUUCUUAUUCCUUUGGCCUGUUCGUAAGUCCUUCUAAAUGGAAUCACACAGUAUACUCUGUCUUGGGUGUGAUUUCCUUCACCCAACAUGAUGUUUGUGAAAUUUCUGCAUACUGUUACUUUAUCGCAUUUAAUUCUCACAGAAACACCAAAAGGGAGGUUAAAAGUUGGUCAGCAGCGGUGUCCGGAUGGGUCAGUCACAUGAGCAUCUGACUCCUGGUUUCAGCUCAGGUCACGAUCUCAUGGUUCAUGAGUUCGAGCCCCGUGUCAGGCUCUAUGCUGACAGUGCAGAGGCUGCUUGAGAUUCUCUGUAUCCCUCUCUCUUUGCCCCUCCCUGCUCAUGCCCUCUCUCUCCAAAAAAUAAAUAAACAUUAAAAAAAAAAAAGAAGCGAUCAGCAGUUUGCCAUAGAGAUAAGGAAAUAACCCCAAGGAGAUCAAGUGACUUCAGCAAGAUCUUAUAACCAGUAGCCAUCCAGUAAGUUGUCUCUAGGUUAGUACCCCUGGAGAAGUAUGGUUUUGUAGGGACAAGGUGGGAACUGGGUUUACUCAUAUCUUGACUCUCCUACUCACCAGUUUGGUGGGUUGGGGCAAGCCACUGAGCUUCUCUGAAACUUGAGUGCCUCCCUUCUGGAAUGGAACCCUGACAUCAGUGCCUCCCAGUUAACAUUUGUCACGUGGAUGAACAAAUGAGUUUAGUUGUCAGCAGCAAAUGACAUCAGGCGUAUAAAAUCCAGUAUGAUGCUUGGCACUUCCGGGCCCUCAUCAAAGAACAGCUAUAGGUGGCCCUUAAAAGGAAGUCUCCUACAAGGGGAGGCUCCCAGCGCAAGACUAAUUUUUGGAUGCAUCCGUUAGAAUGCAUUAAAUAUAAAUCAUCUGGGGAUUCCCAACGUCUGAGUACUUGGUGUUGUGCAGGUGAUCUGAAUGACCUAUACACUCAGCGUCACCCAGAAAGUUAAGUCUAGUGACAGCUUCUCUUAUUAACCCUCUUAAAGGCGCUCAAAGUGUUUCUCAGACCCCCAUUUGCUCCUGGCUUUGGUGAUAUGUAGAAACGUGUCAGCUUUUCAAAGCUGAUCUCUUCCGGACUUUUUGACAUGCACGUAGUGCUGGUGAAUUUGCAACAACCUCUGGGACAGCAUAGCUUUGCUCAGGCGGAAUGUAAAAGCCAUCCAGCUGGCAGACCAAGCUGAGAAAUCCACGUUCAUCUAAGUUAGUUUGUGCCUAAAUGCUCUCUGGGGUUUUACUUAUUUUUCAACUUGCUCUUGCUGUGAAAGUUCCGUCUUCGAAAUGUUAAGUCACCGAGCCAUAAAAAGAUGUGACAUGACCACAGGCAGUGUCAGUUGGUGUGCGUGCUGCUAGCUGUGGGGAAUUUGGGUGUGGACCCCUAAAUAUUGUGGCAUCCUAUCCUUCAAUAUAUAAUAGUUAUCACUACAUUUUAUUGAGCCCUUAAUACGUGAUAGAUUCCGUUAGCUACUCGCUCGGUGUUUCAUUUAAUCUUUACAAUAAAUCUCAUGAGAUAGGAUUAUCAUCAUCGUUUUAGAGAGAAGGAAACAGACCCAGAAGUGUUAAAUAACUUUUCAAGGGCAAAUAAUUCCUAAGUGGCAGAGCUGGGAUUGGAGCCUAGUGCUGCCUGAUUUCAAUGCUGGUUCUUUCCUCUGUGACUUGAAGCAAGAAUGAGGAGACUCUUUAAAUUUUUUUUUUUUAUUUUUAAUGUUUAUUUUUGAGAGGGGGGAGGGGGGGAGAGAGAAAGAGAGAGAGAGAAAGAGAGAGAGAGAGAGGCAAAUGGGGGAGGGACAGAGAGAGAGGGAGACCCAGCAUCCAAAGAAAGCUCCAGGCUCUGAGCCAUCAUCACAGAACCUGAUGCGGUGGUUGAACUCAUGAACUGCAAGAUCAUGACCUGAGCCAAAGUCAGACAUUUAACCAACUGAGCUACCAGGUGCCCCAGGAAUGAGGAGACUCUAAUGAAAGAAGUCUGGGAUGUGGGACCCCGAAGAUGAAAUCUGGCUUAUAGAUAUGCUUGGGUCUGUGGGUUUCUCUGGAGUCCUAAUGACUUAAUUAUUAAAGAACACAGCCUGCCGUGGCUGGAGGGGAGCAGAUGCUGUCACAACUGCCAAGAAGGAGGUCAAGUGCCUCGACCUUGACCCCAGUCAUAUCAGUUCAAAACAGGCUGCCUGCAGGCACUCUGGAGAAACAGACACAGCUUUCCAGAUUUUUCCUCUACCACCAAGGUGAGGUGCACUCUCCUAAUCUGUCUUGGUUCUUUAUUUAGCACGGCACUUCUGUUCUGCCAAAGCAGCCAUUCCAAAUAUGAGUGCUUAAAAUAAUGAUCAUAAUAUAAACAAAACAGCAAACUCACCCUUAGGUAACCUCCAAUAGCGAGAAAGGAAAUAUAAACAUGUUUCUCUCCCUGAGGGUCAGGCUGUCCUGCACCUUGAAGGUAAGAGACCUGUCUCUGUGACCCCACCCCUUGCUCAUUCUCCUUUGUCUUUAGAGCCCCCUUAGAACUUUAAUUUAACCUCUGUCCAAACUGGCACUUAAAUCCUGAAUUCACUCCUUCUUUUUAUUUAUUUAUUUAAAAAAAUUUUUUUUCAGUGUUUGUUUUUGAGAGACAGAGACAGACAGAGCAUGAGCAGGGGAGGGGUAGAGAGAGAGGGAGACACAGAAUCCAAAGCAGGCUCCAGGCUCCCAGCUGUCAGCACAGAGCCUGACGCAGGGCUUGAACCCAUGAACCGUGAGAUCAUGACCUGAGCCAAAGUCGGACACAACCGACUGAGCCACCCAGGCGUCCCUCAGUCCUUCUUUUUAUAUGCACUCCCCCACCAUCAUUGAAGCCAUAUCAUCUUUCGCCAGGACUGCUUGCCCCAAGGGACCAAGCUCCAUUCCGAUCCCCUCCCCCACCAUAAUUUAUUCUCCUCAAAGCAGCCAGAGUGUCAUUUCAGACACAAAUCACAUACUGUCUGGGGCAAAUUUUAUUUUCCAAAGUCAGCUAUCCUGGUCCAUCUCACUCCAAAUGUUCUUACAAGGGGAUGUGGAGGUUCCUCCAUGAAUAGUAGAGUCUCUAUUCUCUCCCUUUGAUGCUGGGCAGGUUUGGGGGACUGGCCUCCAAGGGUGGAACACAGCAGACUUCCAAGAUUAAGUUAGAAGAAGCAAUACAGACUACCACUGGGCUCUUUCCUGGGAUGCUGCCCUGGUAAUCCAGCCGCCAUAUUUUGAGGAAGCUAAGCAGACACACGGAAGGGCCAGGUGUCAUCCAGCUGAGGUCCCAAAUCCAGGAUCAGCCACCAGACAUGAGUGAGCAAGUCUCAGAUGACUCCACACCAAAUGGUGGAGACGCCAGCCGACUUCACCAGGCCCUGCCCCCGUUACAGAUCUCCGCCCAAGAAAGAGGUCACUGUAUCAAGACACUAAGUUUAGGGGAGGUUUGUGACACAGAACUGGGAACCAGAACUCCAUCACUCUUUUGCUUGAAACCCUCUAGUGUCUUCCCUGUGCCAUGGGAAGAAACUCCAACAUCCUUACUUGGGUCUCCAAACCUGUGCGUGAUCUAGCCCCUGACAGCCCCUCCCAUUUCGUCAGCCCUGUGCUCAUUGCUUCUUUCUCUCCAUUGAACCCACAGGGCUUGUUCUGACCUCAAGGCCUCUGUUCUUACCGUUCCUUCUGCCCAAAUGCUAUUCCCUGGGGAUUGGCAUAUCUGGAUUCCGUUUAUAAUUCAGGUUGCACUUCAAAAAUUGCUUCCUUCACUGGUUAUCAAAGACUGGCCCUUGGGUCCCUUUCAGAUUAGGGGUCACACAUGUUAAGGUUAGGUGGUCAUUGUGACAUUUUUUCCCCCAGCCAUGUUCAGCUACAGAAAGGCAAGCAUGGAUGGCAUAGGAGCAGAGUAGAAUUUAAACAGGUUUGGGGUCUUGUCCGGUGAGUUCAUGACUCCUUUGAAGGUGACUCUGCCUCAGUAGUCACUACUCCACAAGGGUGCUUUUCGCCAAGACAAUAUGCUAAUGUUGAAAUAGUCACAGUCUCAAAGAUGUGUUUAUCAGGUGCUGUUGGACUAAUUUUUGGCUCACCUGCAGUCACAGAGGGAGAGAAAGAGAGAGAAUACAAAUUCCAUGCUCUCUUCAAUCAUCUUCAAUUCUUUAUUCCUCAAAAAUGCACUUAUUGAGGGUCCACUAUGAGCAAGGAGGCUAUAUUCUAGUGGGAGGAACAAAUACUAAACAAAGAAUAAAAUAGAGUGUGUCAGCAUGUGAUAAUAUAGGAGGGAAGCGGGAGACUUGAAUGAAAUGUGUCAGUUAGCCAUAUAGCUCGGCAUGGAAGAGUGUCCCAGGAAGAAGGGACAGCAAGUGCAAAGUCCCUGGUCUGUGAGCAUGGGCGGCAUGUUUAAGAAUUAGCAAAAAAGAGGGGCGCCUGGUUGGUUCAGUUGGAUAAGCGUCCGACUUUGUCUCAGGUCAUGAUCUCAUGGCUUGUGGGCUCAAGCCCCGCGUCAGGCUCUGUGCUGACAGCUCAGAGCCCAGAACCUGCUUCUGCUUCUGUGUCUCCAUCUCUGUCUCUCUUUGCCCCUGCCCCACUUGCACUCUGUCUCUCUCUCUCUCAAAAUACAUAGACAUUAAAAAAUGUUUAAAAAGAAGUGAGACAUGGAAAUUUCUAAAAUUUAUAGGGAGUAUUUCCAGUGAGGUAGCAGAACAGAGUGGUAUGUAGAAACGUAUAAAAAUGUGCUUGGAGAGGGAGAGAGCAAUCAACUGCUUGAAACACUGAUGGAAGAAGAUGCAUGUUGAGAAUUACCUGCUGCAAUUGGAGAUGAGAAGGUGAUUGGCAUCCUUGACAAGAGCUAUUUCUGGGGUGGAAAAAGGAUGAAACCUGGAUGCCAUUGGGUUAGGGAGAAGGUAGGAGAAAAGGAAAUGAGGAUGAUGACUUUAUUCUAGGAUAAUUUUCCUGGAAAGGGGGUGCAAAAAUGGGUACAGUAGCUGAAGAGAGAUGUGGGGCAAGUGAGGAUUUUUUUUUAACAUGAGAAAAUAUAAAAUGUGCACUAAUGAAGAAGAGUGAGGGAGGUUGAUGAUGCAAGGCAGAGAGGAAACAGCAGGUACAUCCCCAAAGGAGGAGUUGGCCAGAGAAAGGAGAAAGGAAGUCAGUCCAAAGAAACAAGAGAAUGUGAGAUGUUUGUGUAUGUUGGCAGAUAGAUAUGGUGAUGGAAAUGUAUGGAAAUUACUUUCUGAUUGCUUUUAUGAUGUACAAUGAAAUAGGAAGCAAAGCAACUAUUUGGGAGUGAAAAUUAAAGAAGAACCAUGAAGAUUUGAGAAGAAGGAAAUGGUCAACCAGGAGAGUAGACAAGUGAAUGGAUUAGGGAAAUGCAGUGGAAUUAGUGAAAGCACUAAAGGUCCACUGCAGGUUAGUGGUUGAGGAUCUAAAGUUAAAUCAAUCAGUAUAACAUUGACCUACAUGGAAUAGGUGUAAUGUUGGAUUUAAACAGGGCAUAGGUUGUGUUGGCUGCUAUGAGCUGAAGUGUGUCCCCCCACAAUUAGUUGCUGGAGCCCUAAUCUCCAAUGAGACUGUAUUUGGAGAAAGGGCUUUCAGGAGAUAAUUAAGGUUAAAUAAGGUCACAAGUGGGGAUUCCAAAUCUGAUAGGAUUAGUGGUCCUAUAAAAAGAAAAAGAUAGAGAGUUCCGUCUUCAUGCUCAUGCAUGAAGAAAAGGCCAUAUGAGCACACACUGAGAUGGCAGCUGUCUGGAAGCCAGGAAGAAAGCUCUCACCAAGAAUUAAAUUUGCUGGCACCUUAGUCUUGAACUCCCCAGCCUCCAGAACUGUGAGAAAUAGAUUUCUGUUGUUUAAGUCACUCAGACUAUUGUAUUUGUUAUGGUAGCCUGAGCUAAAACAUCAGGUGAGUAUGAUAAAGGAAAGAGAGCCAAGGGAGUUGAGGGUUGUGUGCAAGAGAAUGGUUAUGACCACAGACCAUGGAAACAAGAUUAGGCGAGAAAGGAAGUAAUAAUGAUGUGGGAUGAAGGGCAGUACAACUGUUUAAUAUGAUAAAGUUAAUGACUGUAGAUCUAAAUUGAUCUAAGAGUCCAGAGAGUGGGGUACUUGAGGGGGUAAAGUGGAAAGAUAGGAGGUAAUGGUCAGAAAGUGGGAUGUUUUCUGUAAGAUCGUAGGGGUGGUACUGUAAUUGAUGAUGACAAAGUCUAGGGUGUGAUCAAGGAAAUGGAAAACUGGUAGUUUGAGGACAAAAGUUGAGAAACUAAAACUCUGGAGUGUUAGAAAGAUGGUCUUUGUUAAUAUUGGGAUAAUCAGGGAUUACAGUAACUGUUGGAAUUAUACUAACAGUUGCAGUGAGUGGCCAUAAGCUCAGUGCUUACAUCUUCAAAGAAUGAAAAACAGUACCUGAGAAGAGCAUUUGAAGUGAUUUCAAGAUGGUGGGUAGUAAAUAGUGGAGUCUGAAGGGUGGUCUUCAAAACUGUGGGUUGUUAGGGAGAGGGAAGAAUAGUAAAGUGUCAAUGAGGACUAACGAUUUAUAAUAUAUCUUCCUUAGAGGAAGUCUUUAUCUGUCUAUUUAUCAUCUAUCAAUCAUCUAUCUAUCACCUAUCUAUCUAUCUAUCUAUCUAUCUAUCUAAUCUCCCUAACUAUAUCUAUCUAUGUAUCUAUCAUCUAUCAAUCUUCUAUCUAUUAUCUAUCUCUCUACUAUCUAUAUUUAUCUAUCAUCUAACUAUCCAUCUACUAGAUCUAUCUAUCUAUCUAUCUAUCUAUCUAUCUAUCUAUCAUCUAGCUCCCUAUCUAUAUCUAUCUAUGUAUCUAACUAUCAUCUAUCAGUUUACUAUCUAUUAUCUAUCUCUCUACUAUCUAUCUAUUAUCUAUCAUCGAUCUCUCUAUCAUGUAUCUAUCCAUCUAUCUACUGUCUAUCUAUCUCCAUAUCUAUCUCGCUAUCUAUCGAUAUCUAUUUAUCUGUCUAUCUCCUAUGUAAUCUAUCUCCUAUCUAUCUAUCUACCACCUAUCUAAGGAGGAUAUAUAGAUAUCCUUAGAUAUAUCCAAGGAUGGAUAUAGGAGAUAGAUAGAUAUAGAUAUAUAUAUAGAUAUAUAUAUAUAUAUAUAUAUAUAUAUAUAUCUCCCACCACCAGUCUGCAGAGUAGAGGGAAGGGGAAAGAAAGCAGGCACUACUUGAGAGAUCUGUAGAGAAAUUAGAGUCCACAGAGAACUAAGUUUCUUUUGGACAAAGAUGAAGGGCACAUUACAGGAGAGGCUUGUGAUGAGGAAGACUUUGCUAAUGGCUGCCCAUAAUUCUCGAAGCACAGAGGAAGGGGCCAGGAGCUGUGGGGUGGCAAUGGGGUUAGAUUAGGGCAUGUGUUGAUCUUUAUAGGUAUUAGAGUCAAUGUAAUGGAGAAGUGGGAGUUGGGACUUCUGAUAGCUGACAUAGAAUGAGAAAAGGGGAUUCUUGAAUUAGUCACAAAAUGCUUGGCAUCUGUGUUUGACUGUGCUCCCAAACCCAUUCCCUGCCCUUCUUUGCCCUUCUCUGAAGCCUACUUUCCAUGCAGUUGAAGCAUUUAGGCUACUUUUUCCUUUGACUUCCAGUUUUCCCUGGCUAGUGGGAAGCUCUAGCAGGAGAUCAGAAGGCUAAAGGAGAGAGAGGAAACAGUAUUUUUUCUUUGCUUUCUCCCUGCCUCCUAGCAAUCGUGGCAAUGGUUACCUUCUUCUGAGUGCCAGCUCUGUAGGCAGCCCCUCUUCUAUGGCUCUAUCUCAUGCUGAUCAAGAGCCAGUGACUCUUCUGCCUGUGCUGAUCCCUUGGUAAUCACCAUCUUUGUUGGUUCUCACAUCUCUGCCCAUACCUCAUCCAGCAAACCCUUCAUCAGCUCCUCAGUUGAGUGACCCAUUGGUUCAUGCCUGGUCCCUGGUGGUCUUACCUGCCGACAGGUGCACCUGUUCCCAUAUGUCCAGGUGUGCCCAGGACAGUUCUGGCUUACAUGAUUUGUACCAGUGUAAUUAUUAAUAGCAUCCCUUUCACUCCCCAAAGUAUUCCAGUUUUGAUUAAUUAUAUAGUCACCCUACCUCUGAUCCCCUGGUUCUGUUUGCUAUGCCUGUAAAUCAAUCUCUCCAGAUGGCCUUCUCUCUGGCUGGAGUCUUCUUAAUCUCUUACAGUCUUUCCUGUGAACUGAGAGGCUGGAUAUCUAGGAAAGGGAGGAGGGAGAGGGAGAGCCCAGCUUGGUCUUUAUUUUCAUUCCUCCAACACAGCAGGCUAAAAGCAGAUGAGAGAGCACAGCUCGUCUUGUUUAUGAUUUACAUUUUUCCAUGAUUAAUCAUGUAUAAUGAAGAGAUACUUCCCUAGGGUCACUGGCUCAUUAGCUUCUUACCCUCCCUUAUUUUGGGGACCUAUACCAUCAACCUGAAUAGCAGAGCACAGGUGAAUUGAAAAAUAUCAAGUGGCUUUGCUAUGUUGGGCAAGCCAAGCUAAGCUCUCUUGGCCUUGAUUUCCUCCUUUGCAAAUGGGAGGAUUAACAGCACCUAACAGGGUAACUAGGAUUGAAUGAGUUGAUACAUAAAGAGGUGCAAUAGUGCUGACACAUAGGGAGCACUAUGCACUUGUAUCUUUUACACACACACACACACACACACACACACACACACACACACACUCUGAUGGGGAGAGGUGUGUAUGAGGGAUGGGGAUGAACACUCAGGUGGAGGAGAAAGUGGCUCUUCCUUCCUGAGGAACACAGCACCGGGGCACUGAUGCAUAUUAGGUUACAGAUCACUGUGGUUUCUUGAAACAAGGGGCUAUUUCCUGUAUGGAGAGGGUAGGUGUUUCCAGAAGGGAGAAAAGGAAACUUGUGCCUGCUUCCGUUCAAGCCUCUUCAGAGAAAUCCAACUUUCAUCUCCCAGAGACCAGCCACUCUGGAAAAUGUGGACGUAGUUUUAGUUUUCACCUAUGCUAACAAAAUGAAAGAAAUCAGCAUUUAUUUUUGUGAUCUGACACAAAUUCUGGGCAAGGGGUGUGGAAAGAGAUGUAUCAAUCUGGGUCUAACCAGAAGACAGACAUCACGAAGUAAUUUGGAGCACGUAUAAUAUAAGUGAUCAUUCAGCUAUGACAGCAGAGUAACUAUAAAGAUGGCGGGGGCUGGGAGGAAAUGUCUAAAGGAUACCCUGGGGCUAGGGGGAAUGCUCUAAGAAGGACAAAUUUAGAAGAGGUUCUCAUCUCAUUGGAGAAGCUGUGGUUGCAGGCCAGUGGGUGGCCAAAGAGCUCGCUGGCUUGCAGGAGCCCCAGCUGGCGCACCCGUCAAUGGGUGAACAGAAACGGCUCCCAGGUCAAGGCUGGUGGGCGGGCAUGGAGAGGGAGUCAGGGACCCUGCUGGGGGUGCUUGGCCCAGAGUGCAGGGUGUCCAUAUCAGGAGGACAAGAAACAACACGCGCAGGGCUAGUGGGUGUGAAUGCAAAAGGAAUCAACAGGGGUGCUGCUAUGGAGGGGGGCUGGAGAGCCCUCUCUCUACAGAAACCUAAAACACCUCCGCAUAUGGCUUAGGCUGGUCCGGAUUCAGGUGGGGCCAUGGGCUCCCAGGAAGGGGAAUUCUGGAGGCAUUAGGAGACAGAUCUCACUCUCCUAUUUCUCUAUUAGAUGAACUAUCCCAAUUCCUGACAACUCUUCCUUCUACAGCAUUUAUUCCUGAUCACAUUGACAGAAAACUCUCCUUAGCUAUUGUCUGUUGUGGUGUUCCAUUUUUUUUUCUUUAUGGUAUCAUUUAUUUUUUCUUAAUAUGAACUUUAUUGUCAAAUUGGUUUCCAUACAACACACACAACACCCAGGGUUCCUCCCGACAGGUGCCCUCCUCCAUGCCCAUCACCCACCCUCCCCCCCUCCCACCCCCCUCAGUUUAUGCUCAGUUUUUAAGAGUCUCUUAUGGUUUGGCUUCCUCCCUCUCUAACUUUUGUUGUGGUAUUCCAGAUGUAAUCAUACUGGUAAAGAAUAGCCAAAACAAACAAACAAACAAACAAACAAACAAGCAAACAAGCAAACUUCCUGUGCUGAUGUCGAAGAGUUUCAGGGAAUUUCUGCUAGCUUUUCUAGCAACUGUCCGAAGGUUGUGUUUAAGUGAAUGCAUUGUGCCCCCAGCAAUAAUCACUUGCAUGCAGAUAUAACUCACCUUAGAUAUAACUCAAGCUAUCAGAAAAUAUACUUUGCGUUUGUAUAAUCACUAUGUUAAAGACUUGGAUUUCUUUAUUCUGAGGUAUUCUAAGGUAGCGUUUCUUUGAGCGACAUCCGUUUUCUGUCUCAUUAGCGGGAGGGGUCGUUAGAUAAUCUUCUGAUGGUGUCGGGUAGAUCUGUUUCCUGAAACUAUUCUCCUGGGAUAAACAGAUACUUGUCAUUUUGUUUGCUGGGGUGUCUCUAACUCUCAAAAUGACUGAUGGGCCAUAAUGUUAUUCCAUGGGGAUGAAGAACAUUGGCUGUGGGGUUGGCUUUUGGUUUCCUUAGCAACUCUCUCCUAGGGGCACCAUGGCAGCCACGUUUAUUCAAAGUCGGGAUUCUAACAACAACAAAAACUGACAGUAUUUCAAUUGAGAUUUUAUACACCUAAAUUAACUUUGCUCAAGAGAGAUACGUUUUGCAUUGCUAUCAUUUUUUUAGUUUGUGUGCUAUUUCUCAUUAGAAUAGCAAAUUCCACCCUCAGAGGAGAGUUGGCUGGGAGGGGAGAGAGCUGGGGGGUAGAGAUUAGAGAGGCUUAAUAACCUGAAUCCCAAAGAGGAAGUGGUUUUCUCUUAGCUCCAGUUUCCCAUAUAGCCCUGAGGGGAACUAAUUUAGAAUCCAAGCAAGCCCCGUCAAAUACAUGGUCUCCUUAGUACCGUGUUAUUCAAUCCAAGUAGAAAUAACUUAGUUUUUCCCAUUGUUUUUACAGAAAAGCUGGUCUCUGUGUGAGAUUUAUUACCAUUUCCUACCAGGGUUUCUGAAGUUUGGCACCACUGAUAAUUUGGACUGGAUAAUUGGGGGAGGGGGGGCUGCCUUGUGUAAAAUGUUUAGCAGUAUCCCUGGCCUCCACCCAAUAGAUGCCAGUAGAUCCACUCUCCCCCCACCCCACUGGUCCCCCAGCUGGGACAACCAAAAGUCUCUAGACAGUGCCAAAUAUCCCCGGGGGAGGGGGGCAUGCAAAAUGACUCCAGUUGAGAUCUAUUAUCUAAAGGAGAAAUGCCGUGUGAUCCCAUGAAUAACUCAUUUUCAUGUGAUCCCAUGAAUAACUCCCUUUAUCAGUCCUCACUUUUAGCUUCCUAAACUAGAUAACCGAUACUCCAAGUGCAUGAGAGCCCAUGCCCAGAACGCCCAUUAAAAGGAACUAUGAUAUAUUUGCACAUAAUUUAGUGAGUAUCACAAUAGCAGCAAGAUCCUCACUCGAGGUUGAUUGGACCUGUCUUCUGGCCUCAGUCAUUUCCCGUCUCUGUCACAGCUUUUCAUUAUCACACCCCCUAUUUUUUUUUAUGAAAGUAUGCAUGUCACAUGGAAGUCACUAGCACCUCCCAGCUCCAAGACAUGAAAACUAAAGGCACAAUAAGAUAAAAUAAAAUAAAAUAAAAUAAAAUAAAAUAAAAUAAAAUAGGAGAGGGAGUCAUGGAGAGACUAAUGUGGAUUCCACAGGACACAGUUUUAUAGAAUAUUGAUUCUGCCUGUGCCAACAAUUAACCACAAAAUUAGACACAUCCGAGGGGAAAUUUAUGUAACACUUGUAAGCCCUAGGAGAUCACUGGUGUUUUUUUUUCCCAAGAUCUACCUAUAACAAAAUUUCUAAAUCAAUAAAAAAAUAUUUGUAGCUCCUUGCAUUUCCAUAUGACCAAAACUAUCUUUUAAAAAAUUAAUUUUUCUAUCUAUUUAUUAUUAUUAAUUUGAGAAAGAAAGAGCACACACAUGCAAAUGGCAGAAGGGGAGAGGGACAGGGAGAGAACAUCUCAAGCAGAUUCCGUGCCCAGCACAGGGCCCCAUGGGGGGCUGAAUCCCACAACUGUGAGAUCACAACCAGAUCUGAAAUCAAAAGUCAGACGCUUAGCUGAUUGAGCCACCCAGGUGCUCCCCCCCUCCCUGAAGCUACCUUUUUAGAAUGAAGAUAUCACUCUGUCAAUGCUAUAUAUGAAGAACCAUUUUUGUCUGACCACAAAGAAUGACAGCAGGGUGCCUGGGUGGCUCAGCCAGUUGAGCAUCUGACUCUUGAUUUCGGCUCAUGGUUCAUGGGAUUGAGCCCAUGUGGGGCUCUGCACUGAUAGCCAGGAGACUACUUGGGAUUCUCUCUCUCUCUCUCUGCCGCUCCCCUGUUCUCUCUCUCUCUCUCUCUCUCUCUCAAAAAAUAAAUAAAUACAUUUUUUUUAAUGGUAGGAUUAUCCAAGUUUUUUUCUAGAACCUCCACGGUGCAAUUAGAACUGGCCUGUGCUGGAAUUGAGGCAAUACUUGACAAAUUUGAUGCGAACUGGUGCCAGGCACCAUGUCUCCCAACACAGAUUCAGUUGUUUGUUGGUUGUGUUGGAACUGGUUUUAAUCUUAAGAUGACAAAGGAUGUGGAAAGACUGUGGGUUUCUACAUCUGACUGACUUGAGUUUUCAACCCAUCACUGGCUGUGUGAUGACAGGCACCUUCUUUUACCGUUCUGAGCUUCUCAUCGGCAAAGUGAGAGUAUAAUACAACCAUCACAGGGUCAUCACGGGUUUGGAAAGAACACACAGAAAGCUCUGAGCAGAAUGGCCAGCCUGGGAAGGAGCCACUUCCCUGUGGCCUAGUUACUCCAUGCCGACAUCGAUUCUGACACACCAAGCCUCAGGCUAACACAUCUGAUGUGGUGCCCAGAGUCCCGUCCCAUAGAGAUGAUCAGACCCUUUUUGUUUGGUCGAACAACAACAAAUUCCUGUCUACCUCGGAGGCGUCCAAAUGAUAAUGUCAGUCUGGCUGGGUCAGAUAUACCUGGGAGCCUGUUAAGAACAAUGAUCCUUGGUUCAUACCCUAGAGCUUUUCAUUCAGUGAGCCACUCUUAGGACCUGGGAAUAUGGGCUUUAGAAAGCUCCCAGGGAGCUCCCAAUGUGCCAUUUCUCAACCCAACUGGUUAUAUGGGUGUGUUCAGUUUGUGAACCGCUCCCCCCCCCCAAAACUGCUACAAUUUUCUGCCUGUAUGUGAUAUGGCAGAAAACUUCCAUAAAAGCUUAAUUAAAAGUAAAAUAUCUCCCCAGGUGAUUCUGAUUCACAGGCCAGUUUUGAGAGCCACUGGUUUUUGUAUCUUAUCCAAACCACACUUAAAAGUAAAAAAUGAGGGGUGCCUGGGUGGCUCAGUCGGUUAAGCAUCCUACUUCAGCUCAGGUUAUGAUCUGGCAGUUAGUGAGUUUGAGCCCCGUGUUGGGCUCUGUGCUGACGGCUCAGAGCUGGAGCCUGCUUGGGAUCCUGUGUCUCCCUCUCUCUCUGCCCCUCCCCUGCUCAUGCUCUGUCUCUCUGUCUCACAAAAAUAAAUAAACUUAAAAAAAAAAUAAAACGGAAAGAAAAAAAAAGUCAGAGAGGGAGGGAGCGAAAGCAUAAGAGACUUAAAAACUGAGAAUAAACUGAGGGUUGAUGGGGGCUGGGAGGGAGGGGAGGGUGGGUGAUGGGCAUGGAGGAGGGCACCCGUCGGGAGGAGCCCUGGGUGUUGCAUGGAAACCAACCUGACAAUACAUUUCAUAUUUAGAAAAUAAAAAUAAAAUAACAAAUAAAUGUAAAAGAAAAAUAAAACAGAAACACUCAAGGGGUGAAAAAGCCACAAGGCUAAAGUGCUUUCCAGCUUCUACUGAAGAGCUGUCCUUUGUGGGAACAGUGUUUCUGAAAUCAGAGAAGCGCUCCUCGGUGGCAUAGCCCUCCCCAAACCUCCAACACAGAGAAUAAGGAAAAUGGACCUGUAAUUGCUCUUGCUUCUACUGUAGUCCAACCAGGAAUUAAAAGCUCUCAUACCGUUGACGCACAGAUUGCAGAUUAUAGACAAAGCAGCACACUCUACUUUCCUUGUUGAGAAUGGUUCAUUUUCUCCCGGGGAACUCUAGUGGCACACCGUUUUGUCCAGCAUUGAAGAAGAGAAGGAAAUGGCAUUUUUUUAAGCUCAGUAAGUAUAGUAUUUAUUUGUACUUUCACUUAAGAGAUGAGCCACUUAAGGCUUAAAUGAAAUGUCAAUAUGUCCAAACACAAGGUGUCCAGAGGCAACUGCUGUGAUUUUGACCAGUGGUUUAGUGUCCAAUUUGCUACCUUAUUUACUUAUCUCAGUUCUGGAUAAAUAGGGUAAGCUAAACUCACAAUACUAUGGGAAUUUUUUCUCUUUGGUGAUUAAUAAAAAAAGCAGAUAGAAAUAGCUUGUCAGGGCACGUGGGGGCUCAGUUGGUUAAGGGUCCAAUUUCUUUCUUUCUUUCUUGCUUUCUUUCUUUCUUUCUUUCUUUCUUUCUUUUUUUGAGUUUAUUUAUUUUGACAGACACACAGAUAGCCAAGUUGGGGGGGGGGGGGGGGGGGNAGCAGAUAGAAAUAGCUUGUCAGGGCACGUGGGGGCUCAGUUGGUUAAGGGUCCAAUUUCUUUCUUUCUUUCUUGCUUUCUUUCUUUCUUUCUUUCUUUCUUUCUUUCUUUCUUUCUUUUUUUGAGUUUAUUUAUUUUGACAGACACAGAGAUAGCCAAGUUGGGGAGGGGCAGAGAGAGACGGAGACAGAGAGAAUCCCAAGCAGGCUUUGCUCUGUCAGUGCUCAGAGCCCAAUGGGGGGGGCCUUGAACCUACAAAACACUGAGAUCAUGAUCUGAGCCAAAACCAAGAGUUGGAUGCUUAAUCGACUGAGCCACCCAGGCACCCCUAAGCAUCCAAUUCUUGAUGGAGGCUCAGGUCAUGAUCUUGCCGUUCAUGAGAUCGAGCCCCGUGUUGGGGUCUGCACUGACCCUGUAGAGCCUGCUUGGGAUUCUGUCUCUCCCUCUCUCUCUGUCCCUCCCCCACUCCUGUUUUUUCCCCCUCUCUCUUUCUCUCAAAAUAAAUAAAUAAACUUCAAGAAAAAGAAAUAUAUUAUCAAUCUUAACAAAACAUUAAAUGGAUGAAAUAUUGGUUUUAACCUGAUGAAAUCCUGGGAUUUUUUCCCCCAAUGAAUUGAAAGCCUGAAUGAUAUUCCCUGGAAGGGUAUAUUUAAAAAUAGAUACACUGUGGGUAAGUGGAUUAAGAGGCACAAGACUGAAUCUGAAGUGACAUAGCAGAUAAUUUCAGUUUGUUCCUUGCAAUCGUCUUCAAGGUUGGAAUAAGGUGUCCAUUUUCCUGGUGAGGAAACUGAGGCACAGAAAGGUUACAGGGCUGGAAUUCAUGCAGGUCUUCUUGAACCCACCUUCUUCCCAUGCCUCCCCGGUGAUGUUUGUUAGUGCCUGAAUUCAAAUAUUGGUAGGGGCCUGGGGAUGCCGUCAUGACUGACCAAAGAUGCAGACCAGGCAAUCAGGCACCGUGAAGAAUAACUAGAAAGUGAGAUGGCCAUUGGGAGGAGAAGGAAGGCCAAGCAACAAUGGAAACGACCAGCCAAUGUGGUCUAGGAACGGACCCUAGGAUAGUGCCUAUCUGUGGACUAUACAGCAGAAUUCCCAGAGACGUAUCCACCAUGACCUGUAUUCCAUUAGCAGGUAGAUGCUCACAUGAACAAGCCUUUUCUAAACAUUUUAAAGAGGAAGCAAAAGCGUUUUUAUUCGAGUCCAUUAGGGCAGGUGUCCGGGAGACACAAUCUUCACAAAGAAGAGAGUGCUCACGGGCUAUCUAUAUUUUUUACAUAAAGGGUUACAAAUCGUCAUGACGAAAGGCAUUGCAGAAAGCUACAGGCUUUAACUUACGUUUUUUUGUGUGUGCAAAGUUGUGUGACUUUCGUCUUACGGGAGCCAGGGAGGUCUUUUUUUUUUCCUCAUCUUUAGGUUUGGAAUGCUCCUUUUGGGUUCCUUUGUUCUUCCCAGAUGUACAGUGUGUGCUCAGGGCAGAAACAGAGCCCGUGCUGGGAAGUCUUGCCGAGUCAUUUUGACCUUGGUUAAAAGUUAAGGUAUAGCUUUUCUGGCAGCCCAGGAGCGGGGCCCACAAACAUUCAAAGUUGAAAAUUUCCUUUACCGUGUGAAACUGCUGACACUCUCGUGCGCACCAAACGCGCAAAACACGUGCACGAGAGUGUCAGCAGUUUCACGCGGUCAAGUUUCACGCAGUCAAGUUUACUGAAACUUUGCAGGUCUCAUUUUCACGCACUCUUUGUGAUGGGUUGAAUGGUGGCUCCCCAAACAGAUGUGUCCACCUCCCAGAAUCUGUGAAUGUGACCUUGAACAGAGGGUCUUUACAGACGUGAUCAGAUUAAGGACCUUGAGAUGAGGUCACCCCGAAUUACCCCUGUGGAUCUUAAAUCUUGCAAGUACCAUUAAAAGAGCAGAAAAGACCCAAACACAGAAGAGAGGCCAUGUGAGGACAGAGGCAGAGAUCUGGGUUCUGCAGCCACAAGCCAGGAGCCACCAGGAGCCACCUGGAGCCACCUGAAAUCACCUGGAAGAUGUAGGGAAGGAUUCUCCUCCAGAGCUUCUCAGAGGAAGCACGAUUCUGCCAACACUUUGAUUUCAGAUUUCUGGCCUCCUUAACUGUGAGAGAAUAAAUAUGUUGGUUCUAGUCACCAAGCUGGUGAUAGUUUGUUACAGCAGCUCUAGAGAAUCAGUACACUUUUAUUAUCUCCAUUUUAUUGAUGAAGAAACUGAGGUUUACAAGGCUUAAGUAGAGUGCUCCAUUCACACAGCUACCAAGAGAUCAAGCCAGAGCUAGAAUUUGGCCACAGAGACUGUGCUCAGAACCUCACGCUGGUACCACGAGCCUGUUUCCAGAAACGAGGCCAAAUUCUUUGGGUUGGCCGGGUAACCUCUGUCAACAGGACUCAAGCCACCUUUCUAGACCCUGUUUUCAUCGUGUCCCACCUCCUCUACCCAGCACACCCUGUGUUACAUUGAAUACCUUGUAAUGUAUACAUUUUUAAUAAAAACAACUAUCAUGGUUUUGAGCGUCUACCGAAUACCAGGUUCUGCCCUAGAUUCUCACAUUCGUAUUGAAUUACCACCCCCCACCCCAAACUUAUGAUUUCCAUUUUACAAAUGAAAGGAUUGAGGUUCAUGAGGUCAGUUAGUAAAUACUGGAGGUACUGAGCCCAGCUCAAAAGUCACUUCCUCCAUGAAGCUUUCUGGAUUUUUCUUACCAUAGCAGAAAGGUCCCGCCUCCUCUAUGCUUCUUAUUACUUGGACCCACUUGUAACUCUAUCAACCUUACAUUGCUUCAACAGGUACCCACUGAGCAUGUACUUUCCACCAGGUACUAAAUGGGAGCUCAUGGCCAGGUGGGAAAAAUGGACAUGGAGGACAACGUAACAGUAGACCACAAUGAAUGUUAGGAAGUUAGACUCAGGAUGCAGUCUGAGCACCAAGGAGGACCAUCCCCCCAAAUCCACCCUUAGCUGAGAGAGUGAUGAGGAUACUUAACAUUCAAGCCCCAGGACCUUUGCACAGGACCCUUUUGUUUUCCUGCAAAAGCCAUCUCUCUUUCUUUUUUAUUCCAACCAGUUGGCACAAGCUGAGGAUGAGUGGAUUUGGGAGAAGAAAGAGGAACAUCUGGGGAUAGACCCUCCCGGAAAUAGUCUAUGCACAAUCUUAAGGCUGGUUAGACUCAAGAAGCAGUUUAACAACAAGCUCUUCAGGAUUAGAAAUGUACAAAAGCAUCAAGGUAACUGCUGGCUGGUUUCUUGCCUCCCCUUGGGGGUCAAAAUUAUUCCCAUCAGUCCUGUGCAUAAGUCCUGAGCCUUGAGUAUUGAGUACCUCUUACCAGCACUCUCUCAGCUAAGCAGGUAGGAGAGGAGGGAACCAGUACAGAAAGGAGAUGAGGGCAAUCUUCUCCAAACCAUGAGGUUUUUCAUCACGACUUGAAAAAGCAUCUAUCUCCUGUGAUAGAAAGUCAGUUGCUUGAAGGCAGAUGUUGGGCUUUAUUCACAUUUGAGCGCUCAGAGUGGACCUGCGGUCUGGAGCACAGCAGGUGUGGGCCAGCAGUGGAGGGAAGGGAUUGGAACUUCCUGCCCCUCACUGCCCCACCUCCUUCUCUGCCUUGUAUUCCAGACACACAGCUCAUACUUCGGGCAGCCCACGUGUCCGGCACAUUGCAGUGACACCUUAUGGUUCGAGCCUCUUCCCCAUCUUACACUCAUUCAGCUACCUUAGUUGGCUGGUUCCCUGAACACAUCCCCCAGCUGAGUUCUCUCCUCUCUUCCAGGACACACAUACCCAGGCACUCUCGCCUCUCCCACAGGCUUGCUGUGCAAUCACCGAGUCCCAGAUUCUUGGGCCCAGGAAGCGAGCAGCACCCUUUCACAUUAGCCUAGGCCACCUGCUCGGGCCCAGCUUCCCAGAGAGCCCAUCGGCGGUGUCUGGGCCGCAGUCCCAGCUACGUCCUAAUGAAAGGGUACUUUGGUUCUCCAUCCACGUCUGACCCCAUGCACGUCACUCCUUGGAAGUAGGGUUUGGUCCAUGAUGCAAGCCGGUAACGUCACACCCCUGCUUCCCACCACUGCCACCAGCCUCUGCACAUGAUUAUCGGAUAAAACAGAAGCUGCGUAUCCUCCAUCCACGUGGAGCUCUAAGAGCUCCAGCGCCCCCCUCUGAAGGUUGGAGGCUCAGGGCAGGCCAUACCUCUCACAGGAGAGGGGUCAGAGGGACAGUCACAGGCCCCAGGCCUGGCAGUGGGGCUCCACACAGAAGGCCAAGCUAGCGGGAAGGGCUGCAGAGCUUGGCCGUCUUCCCAAUCUCUCAUUUCGCAGCACUACAGUGAUUUUAAUUAAAUACUCCCCCUACUGACUCAGCAGUGGCUAACAAAGCCAAGUGCAGAGCCAGGAGCCUGAUAAACAGAGUGUUGCUGGAGGUGGUCAAUCUCGAAGGCCGUGGCUGGAGCCCGCCAUCCCUGUCUGGGGCCAGGCCCCAGGGCCCUAGUCCUCUUCCCCUUCUCCAGGACCCCGUGGGGUCUUUGCUGGAGGCAGGCAAGCUGUGCGUUCUCAAAACCUCUUGGCAGAGACUUUUUCUGGACCCCACUGGUCUUGGUUGUGAAUCCUUUACCAAACUCCUACUUGGAAGGCUGCUUAAUUCACUCCAUAAAUCUCUCCUCCUGGACUUUGCACAGCUGUGGCUAGAAGCUGAUUCCUGAGCGCUCUCAGCAGCCCCUGGAAGAAGACAGAAGAGAACAACUGUGAAGGAGAGGAGACUGGAAUUCACAUACCACCGGGCAGAGCAGUGGAAAGGCACAGGCCUUGUACCCAGACUCACCGGGGUUCUGACACCAGCUCUUCUGCUCUCAUCGGGCUCCCUGGGCUAAUUACUCCGCUUACCAGCCUCAGCCUUCUUAUAUACCAAUCAGAAAGAAUACUCUCUAUGUUAUUAGAUGAUUGGAAGGGUUAACUGAGACCAAAAAGUGGCACCCAUCAAGCCUUCAGCAACUGGUGACUGUUACACCUAACGUGCGCACGCGGGUGCUAGGUAGCCCACGGCCUAUGGGAGAGCUGCCAAGACGUUGCAAAUAUUUGUGAGCACGUACAAUAUUUCUGCUCCUUCUAUUCAGGAGAGGAUUCAAGGUCUCAGAGAGGCGGCCUUACCUCUUCCAUUUCAACACCCUGUGUGACUCUCAUAGAGUUUACAGUCCUGGUGGGAAAUUCAGUUAUUAUCCAGUGAGCUGUCACCCCAUACAAGGAGUACAAGGAGGUUACCUCUUCACCACUGAUGUUGAGUUGAGCUUGGCCCUGUAUUGUUUUGGCCAAAUGGCAUGUAGGCAGUGUCUGAGUUCUGAAUCCAGGCCUGAAGAGUCAUUGCAUGCUUCUGCUCAUCAUUCUGGGACUUCCCUGAUCCUGCCAUGAGUCACUGUCCCCUGGCCCGGACUCCUGACUAUAACCCAUGAAGGAAACCUGCAGUCUGAAACAGGGACACCAUAACCAAUCUGCGAACCUAUGAGCAAAAAUAGAUGCCCAGUGCCAUAUGUCAAAAGAUUCUGAGACUCUUUGUUACUUAGCAAUAGCUGAUGAAUCCAGUCUCCCAGGGAAAUGGACAGAGAGCUGGAAAGCAGUUUCCUCUAUUCUUGGAUCUCUUGAUCUAUCCAGGAAUUCUAUCAUUUCUCUGAGCCCAGUAUUCAACCAGGUCAGAAAAUAAGCAUCAUCUUUUCAGGAUCAACUCUCAGACUCCCUCCCAACCCCUGUGCCCACAGUAGACUACACAAAGGAGAAACCAUUGGUUUCACAGCGAUUCUCCCCCAACAUCCCCAUCUCACACUUGAACCCUGACAUUUUAUGUUCUCUGGCUCCACUAGGACAACUUUCCACUGGGGUAGAGGUGGCCAUCUGUAGCAGCUGCGGAGAGAAAAGGUUGGCACUUCAAUCUAUUAUGUAGCUACAGAAAAGUCCAAAGAGAUGAGGAGGACAUAUGAAAGUCCUAGGUAAAUCUCAUUAUUUCCUUCAUUUAUUUAUUCAUGAAUGCAACAAAUAUUUAUUGAGAACCUACUCUUAAGGUUUCCAGAUACAAUACAGGAAGCCAGGUUAAUUUGAAUUUCAGAUGAAUAACACAUUUUUUAGUAUAAAGAGGUCCUAAAUAUCACACAGGAUGUAUUCAUACUAAAAAUAAUUUAUCAUUUGCCUGCAAUUCAAAUUUAACAGGAUGUCCUGUAUUUUUAUUUGUCAAAUAUAACAACCACACAACUAUGACUAGGCAUUGUGUUGGAUGCUAAAGACGGUGGCUGGGAAUGAUAGAAAGAAUGAUAGAAAGGUGGCUGCCCUUCCAAAAGCUUAUAAGAUUUGGGAUAAUACAGGCAUGUGUGUAAGAAUUAUAUACAUACAUGUAUGGAAAAUACGCACAUGGACACAUAUAUCAAUUAGGUAUCCUAUACACCCUUUAAUGUGGGAAGCCCAGGGGCACCUGAGUGGAUCCGUUGGUUAAGUGUCUGAUUCUUGAUUUUGGCUCAGGUCAUGAUCUCACGGUUCAUGUGAUAGAGCCCCAUCUCAGGCUCUACGCUGAGAAUGCGAGCCUGCUUGGGAUUCUCUCUCCCCCUCUCUCUGCUCCUCCCCUGCCUGUGCAAUCUCUCUCUCUCUCUCUCUCUCUCUCUCAGGAGAAAAUGAGAAGCCCAGGUGCUCUGAGCUAUGCAGGUGUAACACAUAUCAGCACAGGGUCUGCCUUUCCCUCAACCCACACCUGUGCCUUCAUAGAUGGCUCCCUAUGCCACUUGACUGAGGAAGAAAAAUUAAGCCUGUGUUUUGGAUGGCUCUGUGUGGCAUCCUAACAAUGGCCCACACUAACUGAUACGAUGUUAGGCUUACUCAAGAAUGGUCCUGAAAAAACAUAGAAGGAAAACUGGCUCAGCAAACACAAUUUAACAGCCUGUCUUUUUCGCCAUUUUAUCUGUAAGAGGAGCAAGCUUGACUUGAGUAUUUAUACUUGCUCAUGGGCAGUGGUUAAUGGUUUGAUCAGUUGGUCAGAGACUUGGAAGAAGCAAUACUAGAGCAUCAGUGACAAAGACUCUCAGGAAAGAGGUCUGUGGAAAUUUUGGAAUGGCCCCAGAAUGCAAAAAUAUCUGAAUCUCAUAUGAAAGCCACCACAUAGUGACUUCUCACUAAUCAGGAGGGAAAACUGAGUCUGGGAAUACCCAUCCACCAGCCUCCUUCCCCAGGGCCACACAUGGGCCUGACAACCUGGGUCCCUCUUUGCGUAAGCUUAUUUGGCUAUCCCAUUGCUGAGUGGCCAACUUUCAACAGCAACAACUAACUCCAAGCCUUUAGUAUAGUAUCUUGGAGGACCAUCUUGGCACCUGGUGUUUGGUUGGUUCCAUCAACCCUCUUCCACCAUGGAGAGACAUAAAUUCCUUCUCAGUGGAAGAGAUACAUUCUGAAUUUUAAUUUCUUUUCUCUGCUAGUCGCACUUCUGCUAAUUACCUGUACAUGUCAUUGUAUAUUAUAGUGUGUGUGUGUGUGUGUGUGUGUGUGUGUGUGUAACCAGUCUCCUGAUCCAACUAAGAAAUAAUACCUUCCUUGGAGGGGAUGAAGCCUUGCAGAAUAAAGAAUAUGCUCAGAACGAGUUUCUAAUAUAGCCUUUCAGGAAUAUUACAAAGGUCCAUUACAAGGUCUAGAAUUGAGGGGGAACAUGACACAAUUAAACCUAAUGAUUCACUAGCAAAAACCUUGCUUUGCCAUCUUGGAGUCCCAUGGAACUCCUCAUGCCAUUCAACCCAUCAGCAAAAACGGGCACUAGAAUGUUGGCUGAGAACCUUAACCCCACCAAGAGGAAAGAGUGUUGAUUUAAGCAGCCGAAUGGGAAGAGUUAUAAAUAGAACACAGGUGUUCCCCUGGGUGUCUCUUAGUUCAGCCACUCCCACGAUGCUAAUGAGUGAGACCACCAAGGGCUCAUAUCCUCUGGGAAGGAAGGUUGGCGUCAUCUCACUAGGCAAACAUUUCCAGUCACCAUGGUGGGGUCUGAAGGUCUAGGGAACAAGGAAAGCAUAGGAUAUUGGAGAGAGUUGCAUGUAUCAACUGUGGCCCUGAAACCAGUUGCAAUACAAGGGUCAUGGCCUUCUUUGAUAUUACUAUAUAUAUAUAUAAUUAAUAUAAAUUAGUAGUAUAGAUUAAUAUAAAUUAAUAUAUUAUUAUAGGUUAAUAGAAUUGAUAUAAAUUUAUAAUUAAUAUAAAUAUAUUCAUAUUAUAUUAUAUAUUAACAACUAUAUAUUUACAUUAAUAUAUUGAUAUAAAUUUAAGUUAAUAUUAUAAUAUAUAUAACAUAUCCACACACAAAGUAUAUACAUAUAAACAUACACAUACAAACAUAAAUUUUAACUGCUAUUUCUUUCAUUCCAUCCAUUUGUUUCCCCCUCACACUAUUGUUUAUAGGUUGUAAUGGUUUACAGUUUCAAAAUACUGCGACUGGAUCAAGGGAGAAUCGGGGGGAGCAGACAUUGUCCAGAAACCCUGGACUCAGCCGGACGCUUUAGCCUCUAGGAGGGAUGUGUGCGAUGUCUCCUUGGUUGGGCAGUGGGGGAGUGAAUGAGUUUUCAACAUAUAAAAGUGAGUGGCAAGUAGCAAGGGGAGAGCUUUGUUUUGAAAGGUAAUCAUGAGAAGAGUACGAGAAAAUGCAGGGUCGCCAAGCAGACAGCAGACGUACAGUGUGGGACGUUGUUGAUUUUGGUUUCUCGGUAGCCCAUGCUCUUCCCAUUUAGGAUAAUCACAGAUGUGGGACUUACUCUGCUUGCCUUAUUCUGCUCAUUCAGCUACAACAAAAUACCAUGGACUGAGUGGCUUAAACGACAGAUAUUUAUUUCCUCCCGGUCCUGGAGGCUGGAAGUCGAGGUCAGGCUGCUGGCACGGUCAUGUUCUGGUGGGAACCUCCUUUCUGGCGUUCAGACUGCUGCCUUCUUGCUGUAUGUGUGUGCUCAUGUGGUUUUUCCUUGGUGCCCAAGCAUGGGCAGACAGAGAGAUCUUUCUCUCUUCCUUUUCUAAUAUGGGCACUAAUCAUUGCGGGAUACAUGCAUACAGUCCAUAACACAGCCCUGUCCUUACAGGGGAGGCUGCACAGUCGGAAGACAUUUUUCUCUUCCCAGGUCCCUAGAGUUAGGAAGGAGUGCACACAUGAGCUAUGCUUGGAUAAUCAAGAACUCUCACCCAGACCCUUACUCUCGAAGGAGGGCAGCCAAGAAGAGGGGACCGUGGGUGAUUACUUGAGUGAGUGUAGAGCUAAGUCCAGUGGUGUGCUUACAGGGGGGGCCAGCAGUGCCAGUUACAGGUCAAUGGUCUAUGAUUUGGGUCCCAGGACCAGGGACCAGCCCGUGCUCCUAGCUGUCCAGAACUGCUUGGGCCCUGACAGUUUUCUGACUUGGUGUUCUGGUUUUCCCUGUCACUCUGUACACUGUUUCAGUGGAUGAGUGGCGGGUCCAUCUGUUUUAGUGGAUGAGAUUGAUUUCUGUUGUUUACAACCAAUAUCCCUGCCUGGAACAAGUGGUUUGUCCAAUAGGAAGGUCUGGGGCGAGUAGAGGAAGUGCAGUGAAGAUACAUGUCACUGGAGAAGAGGUGGUCGAGGAAAAGGCCAGAGCUUUGGACAUGCCAUGUGUGGAAGACUGAUGUCAUGAAUAAUAAUGGUAGGAUUUGCAGAAGAGGAAUAUGGUAAACCAGAUGUCAAACUUUAGAAAAUGAGGGAAAGUGGCCAACCAGCCACUCUGAAAAAGAUGAGGAGGUUGGCAUACAAUGAUUUAGCCAAACCGAUCAAGUCUCGGAAGAGCAACGAUUUUUACACAAGGUGGAGAACUUAGAGGGGGGAGCAGACACUGGGGGGUAAGGAAAAUUCAGACCCAAAUCCCGACCCUGAGGUCUGCACGAGGGACAGAGGCAGGGGAGCCAUGCCAUCUCAGCAGAGUCGGGUUUCCUGUAAGGUGAUGAGCACAAAAGGACAUUUAGAGGGAGAUGAACCGUGUAAGGGAGUCUGUCUGCAUGGGACAGAAGUUCCACAGAUGGGAGGAGAGUGCAGGAUGUCCGGCCAGCGGGACGCUGCCCACAGAGAGAUGGAGAAGGUUGAUACAGGUGGCGGAUGACGUCUCCCCCAGGGCGGACCUGAGGCACUAUGUGUGUCAUUGGCAAAAGUUCUCCAAAAAAAACCAAUCCCCCUUCCCAUGCACCUAAAUAAAGUCAGCUAUGUGGCUGUCUGAGUAGACUGAGGAGGUGCACACAAGCUUUGUGUCAUGAAACCCUGGGCUCUGCUCCUCAGCCUGUCACCUACUGGCUGUGUGACUCUGCAUAUGUCCUUGUGGCGCCUUCACCUGUAUCGUGGGGAUAAUAAGUAAGGCUGUGUUACUUAGCUGUGAGGACCACAGUGAUGAUGUGUCAAAGUGCUUUUUUUUUUUUAAUUUUUUUUUUCAACGUUUUUAUUUAUUUUUGGGACAGAGAGAGACAGAGCAUGAACGGGGGAGGGGCAGAGAGAGAGGGAGACACAGAAUCGGAAACAGGCUCCAGGCUCCGAGCCAUCAGCCCAGAGCCUGAUGCGGGGCUCGAACUCACGGACCGCGAGAUCGUGACCUGGCUGAAGUCGGACGCUUAACCGACUGCGCCACCCAGGCGCCCCUCAAAGUGCUUUUUGAGAAUAAUCUCAAACAUCCAGAGAAGUGGACAGAACGAAGAUAACACAGAGAGCACGCGUUAUAUCCUUCGCCUGAUUUCAUCUGUGGUCGACUUUUACCUUAUUUGCUGCAUCAUUUGGCAUUUGCACUCUCUCUCUCAUUCUCUCUCUCUAAAUAGGUAAGCUUUGCAGUCAAUAUAUGCAAAAAAAACUUUGACCACUUGAGAAUAAGGUACAUACAUUAUGAUCCUUAAUACCGGUAUUUCCUAAGAAUAAGGGUAUUCCCUUGUAUAACUACAGCACAGUGACCAACUGCAUGAAUUCAACAGGAUCCAAUAGUUUAAUCCAGCUCCGUCGGCUGACCUGGCUCUGACCUUCACAGCAUUUCCCCCUCUGCUCUGGGACACAGCCUAGGGUCAGGCUGUGCAGCUGGUUACAUGUCUCUACCCCCCUUUAAUCUGGGACAUUUGUAUAGAUAGCCUUUCUCUGUCUCAUAAGAAUACCUUAAAUUUUUUUUUAAUUCCAGUGUAAGUAACAGAGAGGGUUAUGUUAAUUUCAGGUGUACAACACAGUGAUUCAAUAGUUCUAUACGUUACUCGGUGCUCUCAUGAUUCAGUGUACCCUUAAUUUCCGUUACCUAUUUCCCCCACCUGCCCAACCACUUGCCUUCUGGUCUGUUCUCUACAUCUAAGAGUCUGGGUUUUGGUUUGUCUCUUUUUCCUUUCUUCGUUUGUUUUGUUUCGUAAAUUCAGUGGAUGAGCGAAAUCAUACGGUAUUUGUCUUUCUCUGAGUGAUUUCACUUAGUAUAAUAUGCUCUAGAUCCAUCCAUGUUGUUGCAGAUGGUAAGCUCUCACUCUUUUUUAUGGCUGAGUAAUACUCCAUUGUGUAUACACCACAUCUUCUUUAUCCAUUCGUCUAUGGAUAGACACUUGGGCUGCUUCCGUAUCUUGGCUAUUGUAAAUAAUGCUGCAAUAAACGUCGGCGUGCAUGUAUCUUUUCAAAUUAGCUUGUUUGUUUUCUUUGGAUAAAUACCCACUAUUGGAAAUACUGGAUCCUAUGGUGUUUCUAUUUGUAACUUUUUGAGGAACCUCCACACUGUUUUCCACCAUGGCUGCACCACUUUGCAUUCCCAACAACAGGGCACAAGGGUUCCUCUCUCUCCCCAUCCUUGCCAACACCUGUUGUUUCUUGUGUUUUUGAUUUUUAGCCAUUCUGACAGAUGCGAGGUGAUCACCUCACUGUGGUUUUGAUUUACAUGUUGAUAAAAAUGCCUUUUAAGGAACGACACCAGAGCAACACAAGUUUAAGGCAUAAAACUCAGAAAAUAGAGAUAAGCACAAAGGAAAAACCCACCUGUCAGCGGAGACCUCCAACCAGUUAGGCUGGCUGUUUCUCACCUCUCCGCUAUCCUCGGUGAGCUCCGAGGACCCAGAUCCCACCUGCCUCUUCUCUCCGUUCCUCUGGGCUUCCUUGCCCUUAAAGACAACCUCACGCUACUCUUUGCACAGCGCAAGCACGUGUGUGUGUGAGUCCGUGGAUGUGCUCUUAAACCAGAAAGUCCCAUGUUAGUCUAUCAUGCUCUUAGCUCAACAACUGGGCUAGAAAACAGGAUUGUGGGGGCGCCUGGGUGGCGCAGUCGGUUGAGCGUCCGACUUCAGCCAGGUCACGAUCUCGCGGUCCGGGAGUUCGAGCCCCGCGUCGGGCUCUGGGCUGAUGGCUCAGAGCCUGGAGCCUGCUUCCGAUUCUGUGUCUCCCUCUCUCUCUGCCCCUCCCCCGUUCAUGCUCUGUCUCUCUCUGUCCCAAAAAUAAAAAAAAAAAAAAAACGUUGAAAAAAAAGAAAACAGGAUUGUGUUAAGCGCCUUUCCCUGCUGCCUCUCUGACCAUUUCUCCGGCUGAAUCUCCUUUGCUUAUUUCUCUCUUUACCCAUUUCCCUUCUUUCUACAUAUCAGGGACCCUUUUCUUUGUGUCCCCAGAGCACUGCCAUUGUGCCUUAUUGAAUCACACUACUGUUAUCUGAGUAUGGAUCUGAAUGUCUCACCAGAGGGAGAUGCUGUGAGUAGUAGGACUCUGUCUUAGAUCUCAUUCUAUCUUUAGUGCCCAGUUAAUGCCUGGCACAUAGUAGGCAGUUAACAAGGAGGUACGGAAAGAAUACAUGAGUGAUGAACUUGAACUAUUUAUAUACGUUUCUGGAGAAUGCCAUGUUAAAUUGGAAAUUACUCAAUCUUGGGAUGGGGGUGACUAUCAAGGGUCAGCAUCUGUAUCGCUAGGAAAAACACUGGCUUGUUGAAGGCAACACACCUGUUCUGUUGUCUACAAAUUAUUAAAUGCAUUCGUGAUGAUGGGCAACGCAAUGGCAUCUAAAUGACAACAGAGUAAUUAAUGAAAUAAAAUAAUGUGUAGGAAAAAAAUUCAAUCCUGUUUAAAUUAAGAUGGAUGAAAAAACGGGUAUAAGAUUGGAGCACCAGAUGGUAUCGAUACAUUAUACUAAUUUUCUAUUCACGUAUUCAAUUAUAGUUUAAAUAAAAACUAAUAUGGGUAAUUCGUCUCAUGGUGUUUGUAUGAACCAUCUGAUUAUAAAUUCCCACAAUGUCCAAUUUACCCACCAAUCUCACACCGCACAAUUAUUGAGCAAGCAGGGUGUGAUCUGCUGGGCAUUCCAGAAGGGUUGCUGGCUGCUCUGGGCACUUAGGAGGGAGGUAUCGUGGGGCAGGAGGUCAGUACUGACUUCUUCCCGACAGUGUGGGUUCCUGAUAAAAUGCAGGAUGCCCAGUUAAAUUUGAAUUUCAGAUACACAAAGGAUAAUUUUGUAGCACAAAUAUGGCAGGAGACACAUACUUUAAAAAUUCACAUGCUUUACCAUGUGUUUUCUUGCACAUUCCUUUAUUCUUUGCAACACACCCUUGAACCAGGACCUCAGACUCAGAGCAAAAAUGGAGGCCCCAAUGGGACCAUACAUCCAGGCAAAGCCCAGCAACAUCUGAGGACAGAGCUGUGUUCAGCAGCCACAGCCGGGGCUUCCCGGAGGAGCCAAGAGGGGCUGGAGUGAAGUGAGACAGGGCCCCCUGGCCCUGCCUGAUUCCAGAAACUGAUCAGAGCAGGCUCUGCUUUGGGCCAGGCCCAGGGACAGGUCUACAUCAGGCCCGAGGAGAAACCCCUGACCCCCACCUCCUUGACAUUCCAUGCAAAAGAAAUCUGUGCGCCUGCUUUGUGAUAUCAGAAAUUACUUUAAAAUAGAGGAGGCAACUGCAAAUCUUCCAAAUUUUACAAGAGGUACAGCUUUAAAAUAGUUACAGGUAAAUUCCGCAAACUUUUAUCUGCUGUGUCAGUAAUGAGCAAUCUGUCUCCACCGGAUCCCGUUUCCAUGUCUUCCUCAUUUACUCCCUAUUUAAAUCCUCCCAUAGAGCUCAGAUACUACUUGUGGAACCUUCCUAAGUCUUCACAGCCUGCAGGGAUCUUCUCCUUUUCAGCCUCCUACAGCACCUCACGUUUAGCCUCUUGUGAUGCAUCACUUUAUCUUAUAUGGGGAUUUGUGUGUUUGCCUUAUCUUUCCUUUAGUGAGAAACUCCUUGGGGUAAAGAGUCACAUCUUUAGUCUCCAGGAACACAUUCGGUGCCUUAACUAUAAUAGAUGAUGAGUUAUGGCCAAAAAAGAAAAAGCAUAAACCGUACAUUAGAGUUAACCAACACACUUUUUUUCUAAUAAAAUGAACCGGGGCUCCUUGGGAAAAUGUCUGAUUCCAGGGCUGGGCAAAUAGAAUACAAAAUGAGUAUCUUGCUAAAGGGGGUCCAGAAGCUAACUUGAGAGUGCUUCCGCUAAUCAACUAUGGGAUAAUUGGAGCCACAAAAUAAAUAAGUAUAGUAACCCAUAGAAUAAAAUAGGAACCCAUCCGCCUUCACCGAGAUGAUCAUGUAAAUUAAUAAAUAAGACCAUGUUGCAGAAGAGAAGCUCUCCCAGAGAAAUUCCAGUAAAAUGUAGAAAUAACAAUUAGAAUCUUGCCAUUUGGCAGCAACUACGGUAAUAAUUGUGUAGGAAUCAUCAAGGCUGCCAAAACUAGUGGGGGAAAUGUGGCAAGAAAUGGCACACGUGUGCAUUUGCAAUGUAUCUCCUCGCAAGAUACUGUCUAAUUACAAAGGAGGAAAAGUAUCUUCUCAGUGGAGACACCUGGCGGGUAUCACCUUAACCUAGUGGUCCAAGUCAGCAUCAUUGAUAAUGAGAGAACUCAUCACCAUGUGCCCACCGAUAUGAUGUGCUGAAGAAUAAGCAUAACACUCCUGUGUAUCCUGAUGAAAAUCUACACCACGAAUCUAAACACGAGGAAAUGUUCAACAAAACCAAUUGGGGACAUUCUACAAAAGGCUUGUAUGUACUCUUCAAAAAUGCCCAUCAUUCACCAAAGAAAAUAUACAGGUGGAAAUGAGCAGACGAAAAGAUGCUUCACAUCUUAAGUCACACACACACACACACACACACACACACAAAAUUGCAAAUUAAAGCAACAAUGAGCUAACACUACGUACCUAUUACGAUGGCCCGAGUCCGGAACCCUGGCAACACUAAAUGUUGGUGAGGGUGCAGAGUGACAACAGCUCUCAUUUGUUGCUGGUGGAGUGAGAAUUCGUAGGGCCACUUUGGAAGACACUCAGGCUGUUUCUUACAAAACCAAACAUGCUAUUAACACGUGAUUCAGCAAUUGCACUCCUUGCUGUUUACCCAAAGGAGUUCAAAACAUGUCCACACAAAAACGUGCACAGGGGUGUUGGUAGCAGCUUUAUUUAGAACUGCCAAAGUUUGGAAGCAACCCAGAUGUCCUUCAGUAAGUGUGUAGAUAAACUGUGAUGCAUCAGACGAUGGAAUAUUAUUCAGCACUAAAAAGAAAUGAGCUAUUAAGCCCUGAAAAGGCAUGGUGCAAAACUUAAGUGCAUAUUAAUAAGUGAAAGAAGCCAGACUGAAAAGCCUACAUAUUUGAUAUGCCCAAUUCUGGAAAAAGCAAAACUAUGGAGAGAGUAAAAAAUCAAUGGUUCCCAAAAGCUGGGUGGGGAGGUGAAGGGAUGAAUAGGGUGAACACACGGGGAUUUCAGGGCAAUGAAUCCACUCUGUAUGUAUGAAUAGUAGAUGCGUAUCUUUACACAUCUGUCCAGCCUCCCAGAACUUUCAAUACCAGAAGUGACCCCUAAACUAUGGACUCUGGGUGAUAAUGAUGUGUCAACGUAGGCUUAUCAGGUGUAACAAAUGUACCACACUGUUGGGGGGAUGUUGCUAAUGAAGAGGCUGGUCAUAUGCAGUGGGUAGGAAGUAUAUGAGAAAUCUCUGUACCUUGCUCUCAGUUUUCCUGUGAACCUGAAACUGCUCUAAAACAGAAAGUCUAUUUUCUUUUUAAAUGCCAAUCAUGAAAGACAGAGAAAGACUGGGAACUGCUUUGGGUCAAAGAAGACUAAGGAGCCAGGGCAUGUAAAUGUAAUGUGUGAUACCGAAUUGGAUCCUGGACCAGAGAAGUUUUUCUUUCUGACAUUAGUGGGACAACUGACGAGGUUUUAAUACCUGGAGAUAAUUAAUAGUAGAAUAUCAAAGCUAACCUCCUGAUUUUGAUAAUUGUACUGUGGUCAUGUUAGAGAAUACCCUUGUUUUUUGGAUAUAUAUGUUAAAGUAUUUAGAGGUAAAGGGGUAUAAUGCUUUCUACAUACCUUCAAACUAGUUCAGAAACAAAGGAUAGAGGGAGACACAGAGAAUAAAGCAAAGUUGUUAAUAUUAACACUCGAGGAACCAGGGUGCAGGUUGUAUAGGGAUUUUAAGUGCUAUUUUUCCAACUUUUCUCUAAGUCUGAAAUUAUUCAAAACUUUAAAAUGGGGGAAAAACCCUCUGGUGUAAAAAAAAAAAAGCAUAUAUUUGCAUGUUCCUAAAUUAUAUAAUCAUUAAAGAUUACUUUAAAAACACAUUGUACAUGUUUUAAAUUUUGCCAAAUUUCUAAUUUUUUUUAUCCUUGAACAGGCCAACAAAAAAAGAUUUAUCUCAGUUUCUCCUGGUUCCCGAAUUUCUGGGAAUUUGACUUCUUUUUUUUAUUUAAAAAUUUUUUAAUGUGUAUUUAUUUUUGAAAGAGACAGAGGCAGAAUGCGAGUGGGUUAGGGGCAGAGAGAGAGGAAGACACAGAAUCUGAAGCAGGCUCCAGGCUCUGAGCUGUCAGCACAGAGCCCAACGUGGAGCUCAAACUCACAAGCUGUGAGAUCAUGACCUGAGCCGAAGUCGCUCAACUGACUGAGCCACCCAGGCGUCCCUGGGAAUCUGACUUCUUUUUGUAAUUUCUUGGCAAUUUUUCUAGAGCACUGAUUUCCUUUGAUAGAGAAUUCAAAAUUCAAAGUCAAAUGAAAAGUCCGAUAGAGUUCAAGGUGAGCUGCGUUGUGUCAUUAUACAACUCACCUGUUCUUGUUAUGAAAGGGUUUCGUUUCACCUACCACUGCAGUUCCGGUCUCCCUGAGAACCUUUGCACGCACCCCACCCCCCAAAAGUCAUUGUCUUCUUGUCCUGUGGUCCUCCUGACCUCCACUCCUCUCCCCCUGCUCCACUACCUGAGGAUUGGGAACUUGGCUUGUCACGUGGUCCCCAUGGAAUCUAGCACAGUGUCUAAAAUGUGAAAUGCUGAAAAAAUAUGUUUAUUAUGACCUCACAUUUCUAACUCUGUAUUAACAAAAAUAUAUCCCCUUGAGUUUUUAUAUGUCAGGUUCACUCGCAGGACUGUUCUUGUGCAUGUAUUAUACUCCUGCACAUUCGUCAUCUCCUGUAGUCCUUAACAUUACCCUAUGACACAGGUACUGGUAUGCCCAUUUGGCAGAUGAGAACGUUGAGGCUCAGAGAUACUUUUGUUGUUGUUGCUAAAGUUUACAUGGUCAGUGGCAGAGCUAGAAUUUGAACUCAGACCAAUCUGAUGCCAAACAUAUUCCCCUUCUAGUAACCUCGGUAACUCUCUCUUUCAAUCAAUUUUUUAUUGUAAAAUGUAAACAAACAGCCCCAUUGAGUAGGCAUCUGCUGUUCAGCAGAUCCUUACAGAUGCUUCUUUCUGUCUCUCUGUCAUUCUGGGGGUGGCAGGAGGAAUAGAAAAUGAAAAUGUGGAUCUGGGAAAGUAAAUUAAAUAUCAAGUUCAUAGCCACGUGGAACUAAGGAGAAAAGCAGUAACUUAUUGAUGUGCUUUCUGUAGUGUCUGCACUGGAAAUUACCUUAUGACAGCAUGUGCUUCCCACGUUUUAUCUUUGAAAGGAAGUGAGAAGAUGCCAAGAAGAACCGAGAAGCACCCAGUGCCGGAUUCACAUCAGGUACCCUUCAUCAGGAUGGCUGGUUUGUCCAGAAAUAAUGAUACCCCGGGCUGCUGCAGUCCCUCCACACCUGGUCCCCCUUUUCACUGCCUAGCAGUAAACAGAAGCCGUGAUUUCGGAAACUGUAUACACCAGAGUUGCUAGCUUGAAUGGCAGAGCUCCAACUCAUUCAGAUCCAGCCCCAAAGUCCCUUACUUCCUUCUAACGUGACUACAUACCAAGCAAGACAAAUGCUCUUGAGUCCCUAGCAAGUUAGGUCACUCAUCCACCAGAAAGGAGCAAAGGUGAGUCUACAAAGGAUGUGUGGGAAAAUAAUAACUAAAAGAAAACAGCUAAGAGCUAACAGACGCCCACCCUAUUUAAAAGAACUUGAAGCAAGACCGAGUAGAAUGUAGAACUGAAGGCAAGAAAAUGUCCCUUGUCACCUUUUGUCACAUACCCCAUGACGUAGCCUGGGUCAUUAGUAAACAUGUUUGGGGAGCAGUUUGGUAAGUGAUCCACUCCUCUUGGGGGAGAUGCUCUGCGGCUCAAUGGGAGUUGUCUGGUUUGAAGUCUAGAGACAAGAAGGGACCCUCCACCAGACAAGUAUCACCUAGUAGUCCCAGCCAUCACCACAUGGAGCGGAAGAAUCACCCAGCUGAUCCCUGUCCAGAUGCAGGGUUCACAACCUUAGGCGCUACAACAAAAUUGUUGUGGUAAGCCACUAAAUUUGGAGGUAUUUUGUUGCGCAUCAGUAGACGACUGGAAUGCCGGCCCUCGGAAUCCUCACCUGUAAAAUAAAAAGAUUGAAUUCCACCGGACUCCGU
rnacentral:lncRNA from 1 species